rnacentral:rRNA from 1 species
GUGUCAGCAGCCGCGGUAAUACAGAGGGUGCAAGCGUUAAUCGGAUUUACUGGGCGUAAAGCGUGUGUAGGUGGCUGUUCAAGUCGGUUGUGAAAUCCCUGGGCUCAACCUGGGAAUUGCUUCCGAGACUGAGCGGCUAGAGUACGGUAGAGGGCGGUGGAAUUUCCGGUGUAGCGGUGAAAUGCGUAGAUAUCGGAAGGAACACCAAUGGCGAAGGCAGCCGCCUGGGCCUGUACUGACACUGAGACACGAAAGCGUGGGGAUCAAACAGGAUUAGAUACCCGUGUAGUCC